UCCCGUGUGGCUCAGUUGGUAGAGCAUGGUGUUUGCAAUGCCAGGGUUGUGGGUUCAAUUCCCACGGGGAA
rnacentral:tRNA from 1 species